rnacentral:tRNA from 1 species
GGACAGGUAUCGAAGUGGUCAUAACGGGGCGCGCUCGAAACGCGUUUGUCGGUUACUCCGGCACGUGGGUUCGAAUCCCACCCUGUCCGCCA